rnacentral:rRNA from 1 species
UACGUAGGGUCCAAGCGUUAUCCGGAAUCACUGGGCGUAAAGCGUGCGUAGGUGGCGCGUUAAGUGAGAUGUUAAAUCGUGUGGCUCAACCAUAUCGAUGCAUCUCAUACUGGCGUGCUAGAGGACAGCAGAGGCAAGUGGAAUUAGCAGUGUAGCAGUGAAAUGCGUAGAUAUUGCUAGGAACACCAAUGGCGAAGGCAGCUUGCUGGGCUACUCCUGACACUGAGGUACGAAAGCGUGGGGAGCGAACAGG